AUUGAACGCUGGCGGCAUGCUUUACACAUGCAAGUCGAACGGUAACAGGCCUUCGGGUGCUGACGAGUGGCGCACGGGUGAGUAAUGCAUCGGAACGUACCCAGAGGUGGGGGAUAACGCAGCAAAAGCUGUGCUAAUACCGCAUGUGAUCUGAGGAUGAAAGCGGGGGACCGAGCAGCAAUUUUUGGCCUCGCGCCUUUGAAGCGGCCGAUGUCGGAUUAGCUAGUUGGUGGGGUAAAGGCCUACCAAGGCGACGAUCCGUAGCUGGUCUGAGAGGACGACCAGCCACACUGGGACUGAGACACGGCCCAGACUCCUACGGGAGGCAGCAGUGGGGAAUUUUGGACAAUGGGCGCAAGCCUGAUCCAGCAAUGCCGCGUGCGGGAAGAAGGCCUUCGGGUUGUAAACCGCUUUUGGCAGGAACGAAACGGUGUCCGCUAAUACCGGGCGCUAAUGACGGUACCUGCAGAAUAAGCACCGGCUAACUACGUG
rnacentral:rRNA from 1 species